rnacentral:rRNA from 1 species
UACGUAGGUGGCAAGCGUUGUCCGGAUUUAUUGGGUUUAAAGGGUGCGUAGGUGGAUUAGUAAGUCAGUGGUGAAAUCUCCGGGCUUAACCCGGAAACUGCCAUUGAUACUAUUAGUCUUGAAUACCGUGGAGGUCAGCGGAAUAUGUCAUGUAGCGGUGAAAUGCUUAGAUAUGACAUAGAACACCAAUUGCGAAGGCAGCUGGCUACACGAGCAUUGACACUCAGGCACGAAAGCGUGGGGAUCAAACAGG